ACCAGGACCACCCGGUGUAAUCAUCAUGCAGAUUAUUUUGAUGAAGUAUGUUCUUUUUAUGUUCCAGGUGGGUAUCUAUGGCUAUGCUGCGUAUUCAGCGAGCAAGUUUGGGCUUAAGGUUUGGCACAGUCACUGCAACAAGAAGUUAUUGCUGAUGAUAUUCAUGUCACUCUUGUUUUUCCUCCUGACACCGAUACACCUGGUUUUGAAGAAGAACAGAAGAGCAGGCCUGAGGUCCUGCCUGAGUUCACUACCAUAAUAGCUGCGUCCCCUGGUUCAAUGAAAACGUAAGAAGUAGCCAGGAAAGCUAUGGAUGGAAUCAAGGCAGGAAAGUUCACAGUCUCAUGCAACUUUGAAGGAUUUUUAUUGUCUCUCGCGACAACCGGCAUGUCCUCUCAGAGGUCGUUUUGGCUAGCGUUUCUUGAAAUUAUUACCGCAGGGCCUAUAAGACUAGUCGCUCUCUUUUUCCAAUGGGAUUGGUAUAACGCUAUAGAAAAAUGGAGCAAGACCAAAACACAUAAGAGCUAGAUGGCUAUCUGAAACAUUCUUUUCAUAUUGGUUCUUGAAGAAGAAGAGGUAUAAGGAACGAGAUGUAGUUGAGAUUUUGAAGGAAGUUGUUCCAUCUAAUAGUUUAACUGUGCUGCAUGAAAUCUGAGAACUUCUUAAGGAACAUAUGCAGCAACCAGUUGUUCAAAAGAUGUGGCUGUUGGCGAUGCCUUAGAUAUCACUGAAAUAGUGUCAUUUGUUUUCAUUGAACUCUGUCAUUCUUUUUGAGAAAUUAGAUUGAAAACCUUAGAGAUGGAUGGUUUUGGUUCCAACAUCAGAUACCGAGAAAGAAGAAGCUCGAAUCGGACUCUAAAUCAACAAGAUGAAACAGAAGAGAAGAACAAUUGAUGUGAUACCAUAUUAGAUUCUGUAGAUGUUGAG